rnacentral:antisense_RNA from 1 species
UUUCACCGAGCCCAGCCACAGCGGCCGUUCGGCGUCACGGUCCCGGCCGUAGGUGGCGAGCAGCGCCUGCGCCUC